rnacentral:rRNA from 1 species
GAUGAACGCUAGCGGCAGGCCUAAUACAUGCAAGUCGAACGGUAAGUAUUUUAGUAAUAGAAUACGAGAGUGACGUACGGGUGCGUAACACGUAUGCAACCUACCCUUUACAGGAGGAUAGCUCGGGGAAACUCGAAUUAACCCUCCAUGAGAUCACAGUGUGGCAUCACACAGUGAUUAAAACUCCGGUGGUAAAGGAUGGGCACGCGUCUGAUUAGUUAGUUGGCGGGGUAACGGCCCACCAAGACGAUGAUCAGUAGGGGAACUGAGAGGUUGAUCCCCCACACUGGCACUGAGAUACGGGCCAGACUCCUACGGGAGGCAGCAGUAGGGAAUAUUGGUCAAUGGAUGGAAGUCUGAACCAGCCAUGCCGCGUGCAGGAAGAAGGCCUUCUGGGUUGUAAACUGCUUUUGCCAGGGGAUAAAAAGCCAUGCGUGGUUAAUUGAAGGUACCUGGUGAAUAAGCCACGGCUAACUACGUGCCAGCAGCCGCGGUAAUACGUA